AAGAUAGGGAGCCGCGCCCUACUGCCGAUCUGCCACCGAACUGCCGCACGCGGGGAGCCAUUGCCAUCGCGGAGAGAGAAGCGUCGCCGUUGAGCCAGAGCCGCCGCUGGGGGUUCUUCGCCGUCACCGUCUUCGUCAUCCUCACGAGCUGUAGCGCCGCACAGUCCAGCCAUC